rnacentral:rRNA from 1 species
UACGUAGGGUGCAAGCGUUGUCCGGAAUUAUUGGGCGUAAAGAGCUCGUAGGCGGUUUGUCGCGUCGGGAGUGAAAACCUUGGGCUUAACUCAGGGCUUGCUUUCGAUACGGGCAGACUAGAGGUAUGCAGGGGAGAACGGAAUUCCUGGUGUAGCGGUGAAAUGCGCAGAUAUCAGGAGGAACACCGGUGGCGAAGGCGGUUCUCUGGGCAUGAUCUGACGCUGAGGAGCGAAAGUGUGGGGGAGCGAACAGG